rnacentral:tRNA from 1 species
GGCUGGUUAGCUCAGUGGUUUGAGCGCGGUGCUGAUAAUGAACCAACACUGAGGUCGCGGGUUCGAUUCCCGCUCGGUCC